rnacentral:rRNA from 1 species
CCUACGGGUGGCUGCAGUGAGGAAUAUUGGUCAAUGGGCGCAAGCCUGAACCAGCCAUCCCGCGUGCAGGAUGACGGCCCUAUGGGUUGUAAACUGCUUUUGUACAGGAAGAAAAAUCCCUACGUGUAGGGACCUGCCGGUACUGUACGAAUAAGCAUCGGCUAACUCCGUGCCAGCAGCCGCGGUAAUACGGAGGAUGCAAGCGUUAUCCGGAUUCAUUGGGGUUAAAGGGUGCGUUUAAGGCUGUUUAGAAAUCCUGUCGCUCAACGAUAGAAUUGCCAUUGAUACUGAGAAGCUUGAGUUCAGUUGAGGUAAGCGGAAUGUGUAGUGUAGCGGUGAAAUGCUUAGAUAUUACACAGAACACCGAUUGCGAAGGCAGCUUACUAAACUGACACUGACGCUGAUGCACGAAAGCGUGGGGAUCGAACAGGAUUAGAUACCCCUGUAGUC